GAUGAACGCUGGCGGCGUGCCUAAUACAUGCAAGUCGAGCGAACAGAUGAGGAGUUUGCUCCUCUGACGUUAGCGGCGGACGGGUGAGUAACACGUGGAUAACCUACCUAUAAGACUGGGAUAACUUCGGGAAACCGGAGCUAAUACCGGAUAAUAUAUUGAACCGCAUGGUUCAAUAGUGAAAGACGGUUUUGCUGUCACUUAUAGAUGGAUCCGCGCCGCAUUAGCUAGUUGGUAAGGUAACGGCUUACCAAGGCAACGAUGCCUAGCCGACCUGAGAGGCUGAUCCGCCACUCUGCAGAUCAGAGACAAUCCCAGCACCUACGCAAGGCAGCUAUUGCCAGUCUUACGCAAUAGGCCAUAACCAGACGCAGAAGCCCCGCCUGUGUAAUAAACAUCUUCGUAUCGUAAAUCCAUGUUAUAAACAACAAACGAAUGUGUAAGUAUCUUUGCACGUCUUGACGGUACCUAAUCAAAAAGCCACGGCUAACUACGAG
rnacentral:rRNA from 1 species